AGAGGGUGAGGUGAGAGUGAGGUAGGUGAGGGAGGGUGAGGCAGAGGAGGUGAGGUGAGAGUGAGGUAGAGGGGGGAGGGUGAGGUAGAGGGGGUGAGGUGAGAGUGAGGUAGGGGAGGGAGGGUGAGGUAGAGGGGGGUGAGGUGAGAGUGAGGUAGGGGAGGGAGGGUGAGGUAGAGGGGGUGUGGUGAGAGUGAGGUAGGGGAGGGAGGGUGAGGUAGACAGGGUGAGGCAGAGGGGGUGCAGAUGAGUUAAAGGGGGUGUGGUGAGAGGGGUGAGGUUAGAGAACAGGCACCAACUAUGCCAUAACUAUUUACAGUCUACACACAACUUAACCUGUCACUUACGUUCUGUACAGUACAUCCAUACUGUUACAUUGUAGCGUUGCCUUAUUCUGCCAUUCACUUCCUUCAUGUCAAACCUUUACAGCAUUUAUCCUCUAACACUUCUCAUGUAUUUAUAUUCUGCUGGUCAAAGCCUGUCUCUGGCUGGCUGCAUUGGCUGGCUACACAACUUGUGUGUUCAAUCUCUUUAUUUCCAUACGGGCUCCACACCUCACUAAAGCCUGUGUAUGGUUCUCUGUAACAGCCCCAGUGUGAAACGUAUUGCAUCUGAGCCUGUAGUGUGAGGCUCCCCUCUGAGCCUGUAGUGUGAGGCUCCCCUCUGAGCCUGUAGUGUGAGGCUCCCCUCUGAGCCUGUAGGGUGAGGCUCCCCUCUGAGCCUGUAGUGUGAGGCUCCCCUCUGAGCCUGUAGGGUGAGGCUCCCCUCUGAGCCUGUAGUGUGAGGCUCCCC
ensembl:lncRNA